rnacentral:rRNA from 1 species
GUACUCCUACGGGACGCAGCAGUGAGGAAUAUUGGUCAAUGGGCGAGAGCCUGAACCGGCCAAGUCGCGUGAGGGAAGACGGUCCUAUGGAUUGUAAACCUCUUUUGCCGGGGAGCAAAAAGCGGUACGUGUACCGCAUCGAGAGUACCCGGAGAAAAAGCAUCGGCUAACUCCGUGCCAGCAGCCGCGGUAAUACGGAGGAUGCGAGCGUUAUCCGGAUUUAUUGGGUUUAAAGGGUGCGCAGGCGGCGAGUUAAGUCAGCGGUAAAAUUGCGGUGCUCAACGCCGUACAGCCGUUGAAACUGG